CCCUGGUUAGCUCAGUUGGUAGAGCGCUCCACCUGUAAUGGAGAGGUCCCGGGUUCGAUACCUGGACCAGGCG
rnacentral:tRNA from 2 species